rnacentral:rRNA from 1 species
GUGGGGAAUAUUGGACAAUGGGCGAAAGCCUGAUCCAGCCAUGCCGCGUGUGUGAAGAAGGUCUUCGGAUUGUAAAGCACUUUAAGUUGGGAGGAAGGGCAGUAAGUUAAUACCUUGCUGUUUUGACGUUACCAACAGAAUAAGCACCGGCUAACUUCGUGCCAGCAGCCGCGGUAAUACGAAGGGUGCAAGCGUUAAUCGUAAUUACUGGGCGUAAAGCGCGCGUAGGUGGUUUUGUAAGUUGGAGGUGAAAUCCCCGGGCUCAACCUGGGAACUGCCUCCAAAACUGCAUGACUAGAGUACGGUAGAGGGUAGUGGAAUUUCCUGUGUAGCGGUGAAAUGCGUAGAUAUAGGAAGGAACACCAGUGGCGAAGGCGACUACCUGGACUGAUACUGACACUGAGGUGCGAAAGCGUGGGGAGCAACCAGGAUUAGAAACCCCUGUAGUCC